rnacentral:rRNA from 1 species
UACGGAGGGUGCGAGCGUUGUCCGGAAUCAUUGGGCGUAAAGGGCGCGUAGGUGGCGGGACAAGCGUGCGGUGAAAGCCUGGGGCUCAACCCCGGGUCGGCCGUGCGAACUGUUUUGCUUGAGCACUGUAGAGGCAGGCGGAAUUCCGGGUGUAGCGGUGGAAUGCGCAGAUAUCAGGAGGAACACCAAUUGCGAAGGCAGCUCGCUGGGACGUUACUGACGCUGAGACGCGAAAGCGUGGGGAGCAAACAGG